CUUGCGUAACCAAGUUACAAUUGGGCAUGUUAAUAACAUUGCAUAAACUAUCUAAUCAAAAGUUUAUUUAGAUAUAAAUAUAUCUGCCAGUUGCGGAGAGCUAUAAAAGUUAUCUAUAGUCAGACAAUACCCUUUACUCAUAAGAGGUCUCAUAAGGUUUAUCACAACUUUGGAGGAAACUAGAAGCUUUUGAAAUUUUUGACCAACCAAAGUAUUCUUGCCAGUAUAAAUUAUUGAGCUCUAAAUAUAUCCAAUUUGGGUUCGCAGAGGAAGUAGACUUUGAUCACAAAUCUGGUGCUCUUGAGAGAUAACCAUAAAACUGUUGUGAGUGUCUUGUCGGUUGGAUGUGUCUGUUUUAAAUAUACUUUCCACUUGUCGUAACAUUUGACGUAUAUACUAAAUAAAAGCUUAGAAGUAUAAUCACAAAAUUUCAUUUGUGUUAGCACCCACUUGUUGGACAACAGAAGAAUAAGUUGUGGUGACUGUUUUGGUGCUGAUGGUGUUGUUUAAGCAGUAGCCAGUAGCAUAGUAUUAAUCGCAUUUGAACGCCAUCAUGCCACCAAAACGGACAUGUAAAUAAACAGAACACCUUAGCAAGGAAUUACACUAAAACCAGAAGUGAUGGCGCUUCUGCCUGACAUGUAACAACAUGGAGGAAAAC